GUUUGUUUGGAGUUAUAAAGAAUUUGACCUGCCCCCUGACUAACAAUUAAAGGGCCGCAGUAUUAUAACUGUGCAAAGGUAGCAUAAUCAUUAGGUUUUUAAUUGGAAUCUUGCAUGAAUGGUUGGACAAGAGAAAGACUCUCUUUAUAUUAAAUUUUGAAUUUAACUUUUAAGUGAAAAGGCUUAAAUAUUCUAAAGGGACGAUAAGACCCUAUAAAACUUUACAUUGUGAUUAAUUUUAGUUGAAUUUGUAAAAUAAGAAUUUUAUUUGGUUAUUUGUUAUGUUGGGGAGACAUAAGUAAAAUAGUAUUUUAACUGCUUAAUAAUUAUACAAUUAUUAGUGAGUAAUAGAAGAUCCUUUUU
rnacentral:rRNA from 1 species